rnacentral:rRNA from 1 species
ACCGACUAAUGUUGAAAAAUUAGCGGAUGACUUGUGGCUGGGGGUGAAAGGCCAAUCAAACCGGGAGAUAGCUGGUUCUCCCCGAAAGCUAUUUAGGUAGCGCCUCGUGAAUUCAUCUCCGGGGGUAGAGCACUGUUUCGGCAAGGGGGUCAUCCCGACUUACCAACCCGAUGCAAACUGCGAAUACCGGAGAAUGUUAUCACGGGAGACACACGGCGGGUGC